rnacentral:rRNA from 1 species
CCUAUGGGCCAUGCCAGCCUGAAUGCGCCUGAUCUUGUCUGCUCUUGGGAGUUAAGCAGGGUGGCCGGUUAGCUCAGUUGGCUAGAGCGUGGUGCUAAUGACGCCAAGGU